GUUGAACGCUGGCGGCAGGCUUAACACAUGCAAGUCGAGCGGGGUGAUGGUGCUUGCACUAUCACUUAGCGGCGGACGGGUGAGUAAUGCUUAGGAAUCUGCCUAUUAGUGGGGGACAACAUCUCGAAAGGGAUGCUAAUACCGCAUACGUCCUACGGGAGAAAGCAGGGGAUCACUUGUGACCUUGCGCUAAUAGAUGAGCCUAAGUCGGAUUAGCUAGUUGGUGGGGUAAAGGCCUACCAAGGCGACGAUCGGUAGCGGGUCUGAGAGGAUGAUCCGCCACACUGGGACUGAGACACGGCCCAGACUCCUACGGGAGGCAGCAGUGGGGAAUAUUGGACAAUGGGGGGAACCCUGAUCCAGCCAUGCCGCGUGUGUGAAGAGGGCCUUAUGGUUGUAAAGCACUUUAAGCGAGGAGGAGGCUCUUUUGGUUAAUACCCAAGAUGAGUGGACGUUACUCGCAGAAUAAGCACCGGCUAACUCUGUGCCAGCCGCCGCGGUAA
rnacentral:rRNA from 1 species